GGGGUUGUAGCUCAGUGGUAGAGCACUUUUCUCCCAUGUGUGAGGCCCUGGGUUCAAUCCUCAGCACCA
rnacentral:tRNA from 1 species